rnacentral:tRNA from 1 species
AUCAAUGUGGCAGAAUAGUGCAUUAAGUUUAAGCCUUAAAUAUAAAACCCCCCUUUUCAUUGGUA